ensembl:lncRNA
CUCGUGGCCACGCCCUCUCCUUUUAAAAACGGCGCCCCUCUCUCUCCGCCCAGCUCGUGGUGAAGGAAGAAACCGUUACGGGCCUGGUGAAGGGGUUGAGAGUGAUAUGGCGUUGGGUAUUUAGGGAACUGGAGAAGUUGCAGAGCCAGCCAAAGCAGCAUUCCCAACGAAAAGUCCGGGACUGGCUUAAAGCUGCGACUGCUGCUUGCCGUGUGGUGUUUCCGGCCUUCGUUUCCCCUUCCUACCCUUUAUAGAGAUACCACUGCACCAAGCUUUUAAAAGUAUCAUUUCAUCUCCAAUUCUCCAGAACAACAUAGAGACUUUAUUAUCACCAUCGUCGUCGUCGUCGUCGUGGUCAUCAUCAUCAGUUUUUCCAGACAGGGUUUCUUUUUCCUGGCUGUCCUGGAGCUUGCUCUGUAAAUCAAGCUGGCCUCAAAUUCAGAGAUCCUCUUGCUUCUGCUUCCCAAGUGCUGUGAUUAAAGGCAUGUGCCACCAAGAUUUGAGGACUUAAAAAGUUACUUCUAUGGCCGGAGUUAACAUACCAGGAAUACCAGGCUCCAAUCCUAGGGGCUCUUUCCUAGCUUGAGCAAGUGAGUGCAAUUCGGACCCUGUCACAUCGGUGCCAUGAAAAUGAUAUACCUCACUUCAGACGGUUGCAAGGAUUGGAUGAAAGUUAGAAGAAUGUUGUGGUGGGCAGGAUAAUACAUUGUAAAAACAUCAAGUUGUUCAGAUAUGAGGAGGAUAGUGUCUUUUAAAUUGCUUUCAGCAUACAAAGAGAUUGGGUGGGAAAGUGAAAAUUCUUUGUAAAAGGUAUAGACCUGUAAAGAUGCAGGGUCUUGGUUUUGGUGGAAGAGAAAGAUAAGCACAGAUAACCGGUCGGUGGAGUAUUCGUGUGUACUCGAGUGUGCACCUUUACAGGAUGAAGGAGUACUCUGCAGUGAAGGCCAUCUGAGACUUUUGAAGGAAGUGCUAUUGGAGUCAGCCAUUCGAUUCCAAAACUGGGUGCACGGAAAUCAGAUGAAGUUCCAUUUUAGGUCUCCUGAUUUAGAAUCGUGGAAGGGUACAUGGUCCAAAGGCAAAAGCGGGGCCUUCUUUAGUUCAUCUCCAGGAUGCCAGCACUCAAUAUGGGGCCUGACAUAGGAUAGGCAUCAUAAAUAUUCCACGAGUUGCAGGAAUUGAGCAGCAGUGACAAGAGAAGAGCCAAGGAGCCCAGGAACACCCAGUUCUUCCCUGGCUAGCCUCAGGGUAGCUUCUCAGUGUGCCAGCCUCAGUGUGAGCCAACGGAGGGAAGCGGGAGGAAGCUGGGAGGGCUUCCAUACGCCGGGACCUGUAUUUGCGUUCAUCCCAUGUCUCUGUGCAUUAGUUUUUUGGGGGAAUGAAAGUAAUAAAUCAGAACUCAAGACUGUUCAGUGACUUAUC